GAUGAACGCUGGCGGCGUGCCUAAUACAUGCAAGUCGAGCGAACAGACGAGGAGCUUGCUCCUCUGACGUUAGCGGCGGACGGGUGAGUAACACGUGGAUAACCUACCUAUAAGACUGGGAUAACUUCGGGAAACCGGAGCUAAUACCGGAUAAUAUAUUGAACCUCAUGGAUCAAUAGUGAAAGACGGUUUUGCUGUCACUUAUAGAUGGAUACGCGCCGCAUCAGCUAGUUGGUAAGGUAACGGCUUACCAAGGCAAGUACGCGUAGCCGACCUGAGAGGGUGGUCGCACACACUGGAAGUGAGACACGGCCCAGACUCCUACGGUGAGCAGCAGUAGGGAAUCUUCCGCGAUGGGCGAGAGCCGGACGGAGCAACGCCGCGUGAGGGAUGAAGGUCUUCGGAUCGGAGAACUCUGUUAUUAGGGAAGAACAAAUGUGUAAGUAACUAUGCACGUCUUGACGGUACCGAAUCAGAAAGCCACGGCUAACUACGUG
rnacentral:rRNA from 1 species